rnacentral:rRNA from 1 species
AAUCGGACUAGGAUAUAGCUGGUUUUCUGCGAAAAUUGUUUUGGCAAAUUGUUUAUUCCUCUAAAAAAUAGUAGGUAUAGCACUGAAUAUCUCGAGGGAGUAUGAAAAUAUUUAUCUCAGAUAUUUAAUCUCAAAAUAACUAUUUCUUAAAAUAAAUAAUCAGACUAUGUGCGAUAAGGUAGAUAGUCGAAAGGGAAACAGCCCAGAACAGUAAUUAAAGCUCCCCAAUUAAUAUUAAGUG